UACGUAGGGUGCAAGCGUUAAUCGGAAUUACUGGGCGUAAAGCGUGCGCAGGCGGCUUUGCAAGACAGAUGUGAAAUCCCCGGGCUCAACCUGGGAACUGCAUUUGUGACUGCAAGGCUGGAGUACGGCAGAGGGGGAUGGAAUUCCGCGUGCAGCAGUGAAAUGCGUAGAUAUGCGGAGGAACACCGAUGGCGAAGGCAAUCCCCCGGGCCUGUACUGACGCUCAUGCACGAAAGCGUGGGGAGCAAACAGG
rnacentral:rRNA from 1 species